CUACAUGGUGGCCAUGCACAGGGCGCCUUCGGGCGCGCCGGUCUCCUUGUACCCGGUCUACCAACCUGCGUAUGGCCACCACCCGU
rnacentral:antisense_RNA from 1 species